rnacentral:rRNA from 1 species
AUUGAACGCUGGCGGCAGGCCUAACACAUGCAAGUCGAACGAGUGGCGGACGGGUGAGUAAUGUCUGGGAAACUGCCUGAUGGAGGGGGAUAACUACUGGAAACGGUAGCUAAUACCGCAUACCAUCAGAUGUGCCCAGAUGGGAUUAGCUAGUGGGUGGGGUAACGGCUAACCAAGGCGACGAUCCCUAGCUGGUCUGCGAGGAUGACCGGCCACACGGGAACUGAGACACGGUCCAGAUUCCAACGGGAGGCAGCAGUGGGGAAUAUUGCCCAAUGGGCGAAAGCCUGAUGCAGCCAGGCCGCGUGUAUGAAGAAGGCCUUCGGGUUGUAAAGUACUUUCAGCGGGGAGACGUUACCCGCAAAAGAAGCACCGGCUACCUCCGUGCCAGCAGCGGCGGUAAUA